rnacentral:rRNA from 1 species
UACGUAGGGAGCAAGCGUUGUCCGGAAUCAUUGGGCGUAAAGCGCGCGUAGGUGGCCACAUAAGUCCGUUGUGAAAGUCAAAGGCUCAACCUUUGAAAGCCGAUGGAUACUGUGUGGCUAGAGUACGGAAGAGGCGAGUGGAAUUCCUGGUGUAGCGGUGGAAUGCGCAGAUAUCAGGAGGAACACCGGUGGCGAAGGCGGAUCUCUGGGCCUUACCUGACGCUGAGGAGCGAAAGCAUGGGGAGCAAACAGG